CGCGUAGGUGGCCCGGUCAGUUCGUGGUGAAAGCGCGGGGCUCAACUCCGCGUCGGCCAUGAAUACUGCUGGGCUUGAGCACUGUAGAGGCAGGCGGAAUUCCGAGUGUAGCGGUGGAAUGCGUAGAGAUCCGGAAGAACACCGGUGGCGAAGGCGGCCUGCUGGGCAGUGGCUGACACUGAGGCGCGACAGCGUGGGAGCAAACA
rnacentral:rRNA from 1 species